AGUGAACGCUGGCGGUAGGCCUAACACAUGCAAGUCGAACGGCAGCACAGUAAGAGCUUGCUCUUACGGGUGGCGAGUGGCGGACGGGUGAGGAAUACAUCGGAAUCUACUUUUUCGUGGGGGAUAACGUAGGGAAACUUACGCUAAUACCGCAUACGACCUACGGGUGAAAGCAGGGGAUCUUCGGACCUUGCGCGAUUGAAUGAGCCGAUGUCGGAUUAGCUAGUUGGCGGGGUAAAGGCCCACCAAGGCGACGAUCCGUAGCUGGUCUGAGAGGAUGACCGCCAACACUGGAACUGAACCGCGCACCAGACCCCUAGGGGGGGACGCGGGGGGAAAUAUUGGAAAAGGGGCGCAAGCCGGCCCCACCCACCCCGGGGGGGUGAAAAGGGCCUUGGGUUUGAAAGCCCUUUUUGUGGGAAAAAAAAACCAGAGGGUUAAUCCCCGCUUUUUUUGACGGACCCAAAAAAAAAACCCCCGGCUAACUUCGGC
rnacentral:rRNA from 1 species